rnacentral:rRNA from 1 species
AACGAACGCUGGCGGCAUGCCUAACACAUGCAAGUCGAACGAGAUCUUCGGGUCUAGUGGCGCACGGGUGCGUAACGCGUGGGAAUCUGCCCUUUGGUUCGGAAUAACAGUUGGAAACGACCGCUAAUACCGGAUGAUGACGAAAGUCCAAAGAUUUAUCGCCAGAGGAUGAGCCCGCGUAGGAUUAGCUAGUUGGUGUGGUAAAGGCGCACCAAGGCGACGAUCCUUAGCUGGUCUGAGAGGAUGAUCAGCCACACUGGGACUGAGACACGGCCCAGACUCCUACGGGAGGCAGCAGUGGGGAAUAUUGGACAAUGGGCGAAAGCCUGAUCCAGCAAUGCCGCGUGAGUGAUGAAGGCCUUAGGGUUGUAAAGCUCUUUUACCCGGGAUGAUAAUGACAGUACCGGGAGAAUAAGCUCCGGCUAACUCCGUGCCAGCCGCCGCUGUAAUAC